rnacentral:lncRNA from 1 species
UUUCCAUUUUUUUUGUGAAUUAGGUCAGGAAACCGAAUUGAAGUUGGGAUGAGGGUGGGACCUAAACCCAAGUCAUUGAUAUCAACUUCCGAUGACUUCACCAACUCUAUUGGAGAUAUGCUCUUGGAAGGUGUGAAUUCCAAGAGAGUUUGGGCCCAUAUCCAGAUGAUUGCUUAUCAUGCACAAAGUUUUGAUGUUGGCGGAGGCAUGGCAACAUCGAUGGCUUCUUAACCUUCAAGAGGG